AACGCACAUUGCGCCCUAUGGUAUUCCAUAGGGCAUGCCUGUUUGAGCGUCAUUUCUCUCUCAAAUCUUCGGAUUUGGUUUUGAGUGAUACUCUUAGUCAGACUAAGCGUUUGCUUGAAAUGUAUUGGCAUGAGUGGUACUAGAUAGUGCUGAACUGUUUCAAUGUAUUAGGUUUAUCCAACUCGUUGACCAGUAUAGUAUUUGUUUAUUACACAGGCUCGGCCUUACAACAACAAACAAAGUUUGACCUCAAAUCAGGUAGGACUACCCGCUGAACUUAAGCUUAUCAAUAAGCGGAGGAAUC
rnacentral:rRNA from 1 species